CUUCAGCGUGCGAAACUAGAAGCUGAAAGAGGACAGCUAUCCGGGAACAUUGAGAAGAAAGUUCUCGAUGUCAUGAUCGCAGCACUCACAGACACAAUCGGUGAUCACCCGGAGCUCUUGCAGUCCAGAGACGGGAUUUCCGCUAAUCCAGCUACAAGAAUUAUGCGACAAUUUGGCGAAAGCACACCAUCCACGGCCAUGAAUCGGGCCAUUCUUUCCGCCUACAAACACGAGCUGCUAAAGGGACCUCCCCACCAUUAAGCUUCAUAAUAACAUUCUUACCGCUCAAAUACUCCUAUUUCGGACCAAUGUUUUGUUCAAUCCAUUAAUUUACAGUGUUAAUUCUGAUGUAUUCUUAAAAUUUCCAAUCACUUUAGGUUGUAUUGACAUUUACGAUUUUGUAUAUUAAUAAAAAAACAAAUUGAUUUAUAACUUUGUCUAAGACGUUAAAUUGUUAUUUUUAUAUAAACACCGAGUUAUUUUAUAUUUUCAAUAAUUUAACUAUUCAGUAAGUUAUAACAAUUGUAUGUUUGUUAUAAUUUUCUUUGGUAUUUUUUUUAAAUUUAAUUAUGCGUCAGAUUUAACAUCAAUCCACAGUUAAACAUCAUUUUCUAUAUUUUUAAACAUACACUUAUAAACUAUAUUGGCUUCUAUUUGGUCACAAAAAAAAAUUAGAUAUUAAAUUAGAUUUUUUUUGUUAAAAAGAUACUAUCCUUUUAAUAUAGCCAAAUUAUAUUUAGAUUGUGGAGUUCUGUCCUGCUUUGAAUCGAAGCAGAGAGAGUAUAUAUUUAAAUAAUUAUGGAACUCUAUAGUAAAUCAAAUUCUGUACUAUAUAUUAUUUAAAACAAAGAAUAGCGCCCUCUAUUGGCAAUCUAUAAAAUUGAGGAUUCUUGAAACUUUUAUAAACUUUCAGCCAUACUGUUGUAUUAUAUUUCCUCGCUCAAGCUUGCAAUAUAAGCCUUUCAUACAAAACAUAUAUUGUACCUGAAAAGAAUCCCACAGAGCACCACAUGACAGUACGUGGUGACAUAUUCUAAUAACUAUUUACCCAAAUAUUUCUUGUGUAUGUCAUAGUAGAUAAAUUUUACGAUGUAUGUAGGAAUAUCUCAGUAUCUAGAUAUUAUAAUUAUAAUCGCUAUAUCUCUUUGAUAUCAUCAAAAUAUCACAUAAUAAUGCAAAAUAUCGUGUUUUGAAUAUUACUAUUUGAUCGUGAAUAAACUAAACUCUUCAUUAAUAGAAAUUAUAAAUAUAUUCUAUAUGAUUUUAGAAUAGUAAAACAUGUUAAUUUUGUGAACUCAAUUAUUUAAAAAAAAAUCUAGCAAACGUAAAAGCAAUGACGGUUUGGUUUGGUUGUGGUUGGUUAAUAGCAUCUCUAGUCCAACGUUGUCACGAAACAUAACAUAACAGCAAAGGAGUAAAACUCCCACUUCAAUCAUUCUUAAACAUUCAUUCGUGCUCUUCGAUAGACCCCAACAUCAGAUGUGAUUGUAGCUAAAUGUGUCUGUCCAGUUCAGUAUAAAAAAAAUCAUAAUUUUUUUAUAAAAUUGUAAUAUUGCAAUAUCAACACGUAUUGAUGGGUUUUGAGAUAGUUGUGUAUCGUAAUACAACAAUAUGUUCAUUUUCGUCGAUUUGCCUAAUCACAAUCAAACGUUUUCGUCUUUUUGACGUUUUCAAAUCAGUACGGCUUUUCGGUUUUUAAUACCGGGUAUGUUUAGAUUUAUUACCAAAAUAACUGGUUCGCAAAGAUGAAAAACCUACAAAUUACGUAAACCUAACCUACUAAUUUAAUAAAAUAUUUAUGUAUAUCUACUUUUUUAAUUGUUUUCAUUUUUUCGUUCAGCGUUAAUUACCAAUUUAGUAUUAAUUAUUUUGUUAUCAGUCUCUACAUACCCGACAAUAUCUUUUUUUAUACAUUAACCUUCUACUCAUCCGUACUUAGAGUUGAUAUUUUAUAAAUGUUAAGACACUAUAGUCUUUUGUUUCUGCGAGUAUGAGAUUUAAACAACCUUUUUCAUUAUUUAUUAUUUGAUAGGUUUGAUUUUGAAUAUGAUUGAAAUGUUUAUUAAAGGACAUCUAUUGCCGAGAACAUGGUAUCACUUGACGUAAUGUAAAUAAUUUAAUCAUUUUGGGUUUAUUGAAAGAAUUUUAAUUGGAAACUUAAUAGACAGUCACAGACAAGUCAGCCGUUACCAAAUCAUAUGUAGCCAAGUCCCAAUCAUAAUUUACUGGACAACUCUUAGUACGGUAUACUUUUCAUACUUUUAGUUUUCCUAUAACCGAUAUUUUGCAAAUAGUCCUACAUAUUUAAGAAAGUCACGAUCAGACAUAUUAAGACUUGUAAAUUGUAAUUUGGUAUAAGCUGCAUUAGUGAUCUGCAAAAUUUAAUAUAUUUGUAAUAUUCUUUGAAUUGUAUUAUGGAUUUAAUAAAAAAGAUUUGAUGUCA